CCCUUAGAUGUCCUGGGCCGCACGCGCGCCACACUGAGUGUCUGAGAUACGAGUCUGCCUGGUCCGGCAAGGUCUAGGUAAUCGCUAAAAGACACAUCAUGCUUGGGAUAGAUUAUUGCAAAUAUUAAUCUUGAACGAGGAAUUCCUAGUAAGCGCAAGUCAACAGCUUGCGUUGAUUACGUCCCUGCCCUUUGUACACACCGCCCGUCGCUACUACUGAUUGGAUGUUUAAGCGAGGUUCUCGAACUGCUAGCGACUUAGCUUCGGUGAGGUCGCAGUGUGGGAAGUGAACCUAGCUUUGGUGUCUAGAGGAAGUAAAAGUCGUAACA
rnacentral:rRNA from 1 species